rnacentral:rRNA from 1 species
AGAGUGGAUCCUGAGUACGGCGGAACACGUGAAAUUCCGUCGGAAUCCGGGAGGACCAUCUCCCAAGGCUAAAUACUCCCUAGUGACCGAUAGUGAACCAGUACCGUGAGGGAAAGGUGAAAAGCACCCCGGAAGGGGAGUGAAACAGUUCCUGAAACCGUGUGCCUACAAGUAGUUAGAGCCCGUUAAUGGGUGAUAGCGUGCCUUUUGUAGAAUGAACCGGCGAGUUACGAUUUGUUGCAAGGUUAAGCGGAAAAAGCGGAGCCGUAGCGAAAGCGAGUCUGAAUAGGGCGCAUAAGUAACAGGUCGUAGACCCGAAACCAGGUGAUCUACCCAUGUCCAGGAUGAAGGUAAGGUAAUACUUACUGGAGGUCCGAACCCACGCACGUUGAAAAGUGCGGGGAUGAGGUGUGGGUAGCGGAGAAAUUCCAAUCGAACUUGGAGAUAGCUGGUUCUCUCCGAAAUAGCUUUAGGGCUAGCCUCGAGGUAAAGAGUCAUGGAGGUAGAGCACUGUUUGGACUAGGGGC